GCGCCUAAUUCCAAUACAAUAGGGGUCUAUCAGUGCAAGUCAGCUGAACACCGUGAUUGAUGAGUGGGUAGGUGGGUUAGGUGCACCUCUCGCCCAGUGGGAAGUAAUGAGGCUAGUCUCCCCCCCUUUCCCCCUGUCCGUGUGUGGGCCACCCUUCUGAAAGGCGAAAAAGCGGGAGAACCCACUUAGACCCAAUAGCGGGCAGCAUGA
rnacentral:lncRNA from 1 species